AACACAUGCAAGUCGAACGCGAAAGGGACUUCGGUCCUGAGUAGAGUGGCGCACGGGUGAGUAACGCGUAGAUAAUCUGUCCUUGUGUCUGGAAUAAUACGUCGAAAGGUGUACUAAUACCGGAUAUUCUUGCUUUUCAUAAGUAUGGCAAGCAAAGGUGGCCUCUGACAUAAGCUACUGCACGAGGAGGAGUCUGCGUACCAUUAGCUAGUAGGUGGGGUAAUGGCCCACCUAGGCGACGAUGGUUAACGGGUCUGAGAGGAUGAUCCGUCACACUGGCACUGGAACACGGGCCAGACUCCUACGGGAGGCAGCAGUGAGGAAUAUUGCGCAAUGGGGGAAACCCUGACGCAGCGACGCCGCGUGAGUGAGGAAGGCCUUCGGGUCGUAAAGCUCUGUCAAAGGGAAAGAAGUGCAUGGUGGUUAAUACCCAUCAUGUUUGACGGUACCCUUAAAGGAAGCACCGGCUAACUCCGUGCCAGCAGCCGCGGUAA
rnacentral:rRNA from 1 species